AAAGCCAGUACGUGCAGUAGGAUCAAAACCCAGUACCAUUGUUCGUGACUUCUCAGCAGCCCUCAUUGUCCGCUAUGUUCAGCGAGUCCGGUUUUAUCCCAUGCUUUUUUUUAGACCCAGUCCAGCUGGCCUUGGUGAGUUCCCCAUAGACCAUCCCCAUUGUCUCAGUGUGUGGGUGAACCCCUCGCUGUCCUGAGUUCCUUGCUCGUGCUCUCUCUCCUUCUGCUCCUCAUUUGGGCCUUGGGAUUUCAGUCCGGUGCUCCAAUGUGGGUCUCUGUCUGUGUCUCCUUUCAUCGCCUGAUGAAGGUUAAUAUCCAGGAGGAUAACUAUAUGUUUUUCUUUGGGUUCACCUUCUUAUUUAGCUUCUCUAGGAUCACGAAUUAUAGGCUCAAUGUCCUUUAUUUAUAGCUAGAAACUCAUUAUGAGUGAGUACAUCCCAUGUUCCUCUUUUUGGGUCUGGCUUACCUCACUCAGGAUAGUGUUUUCUAUUUCCGUCCAAAUUGCUAGUUAAAUAUAAUGGAUUUAGUAUGAAUAUAGCUCAGUUUUUAAGGAAGAAUACUAGGUAAAUGUAUUUUUAAGUUGGGGCCAAAUUUAACACUCUUCUGAGCACAUUUCACCAACCCAUCUGCUCUUCUUUUUCCCCUUAAAAUUGGCGACCUGGAUACAUGCACCCCCAGAAAAAAGCAGUAAUGUUGAGGCUCCCGCGACAGUGCUAAGAGGAACAUGAAUGGAGAAGCUCAUGGAGACUCAGAGAGGACAGCUGUGAGGGCUUUAGUCAACAAGACGGCUUCUCACUGGGAGCCAAAUUCAAACAUCUGAGUCUUUCUCUUUCAUUUUAUGGGGCAGGCUGUGAACCAGAGAAGCUGAAUUUAACUUUGAUCUGUAAAUACAUUGUUUUCUCAAUCUGUAACUUCUAGUUGUCCAUUUACUGCUUUUAUUACCAUGUGUGGUGUAGACAGCAUUGUGAGAAGGUUACUCACAGAAGCUGAGAAUCUGAAAAUGGAGGUGAUUUAAUAAUAAACUUCCUAAUGCCGUGGCUUACAGUUACCCUUUGUUCCUAAAUAUUUGCCCAGUCUAAGCUUGACUGCUAACCAUUCUUCUUUAUUUCUCUUAAGCAAUGGCUUUGCUUUGUUUUCAGUAUUACUGAGAAUGAAGUCUCUCUCUCUCCCUUCUGUCUCCAGAUGGCUCUUUCAACCUAAGAAGCAAUUCUUUUUCUUUUUACAAUGUCUGCAAGUAUUUGAAUUAAAACUGAUAUCCAGAUGUUUGUGAAAGCUGCUGGAGAGGUCUCAGCAACUCCAUGUCACCAUGGCAGACCGGAUGUAUGCAGAAGUCUGUAAGGAGAGUGUAGAACUUGGAGCAGAUUGUCUUCUUAGGUACAAACAGACUAACACUCUAUGGACACAGCCACUGAAAUGAGCCGGGACUGCUCUGUGUCUCCAGAGCCCUGCCUGGCCUGCCCCUCUUCCUUUUCCACCGGGGAAGUCAUGUUAGCAGGGUUGCAGACAUAUAAACAGACUCUGGUAGAAUUUAUUGGAUGAACAGUCAGAUCCUGAGAUUUAGGAGUUGAAGCAGCGAGCAGUUUGAUGAUACAAGCUGUGGAUCCCUGGGGCCUCGGAAGCAGAUGGUUAUGGAUCUUUCGCCUGGACUGUUGAUGCCUUUAUUCCUCAUCUUUAGUGACCUGUCACCAGUUGCCAGUAAGACAGGGCUGUGUCCCACAGCAUGGACACAGAUACCACUUCUCUGAUUCAGGAGAACUUCACAGGGCAAAGGGAAUGUUGGGAGACUAAUGUAUUUUAAAGUUUUUUGUGGGUCUUUUUUUUGCGUAUUUUACUUGAAUUAUUUAUGUAGUAUAGAAAAACUAAUUUUAGAUAUGACAGAUGUUAUUAAUUUAGGUAACAGUUCACCAUAAAGGAGACACAUAACAUUUAUGUGCUGGGCUGGAGGCGGAGCUCAGUGGUGGUGUGCUUGACUAGCGUGCAUGAGGUCCUGGGUUCAAUUCCACGAAAACCUCCUCCCCCUUAAAAAGAAAGCCAAAAAUAGUUACAGGAUGAAAUUUCAAAACUUCACUAAAAGUCUUUAAAGGUUUUGUUGAGGCUUGAUUGACAUAUUCUGAAGUCCACAUAUUUGAAGUCAUGGUUUGGUAUAUUUUGGCACUUACGACACACAUCCUGACAACUGCCACCAUGAUGAAGACAAGGAGGUCUUCCACCCCUGGAUGUCUCCUUGUGCUUUUAUGUUCCUCCCCUCAGCCCCUGCUGUCCCUAAGCACCGAUUACUUAUGUCCCUUUGACUGACUCGCAUUUUCUAGAAUUUCCUAUAAAUGGGGUCAUGCAAUGCAUAUUCUGUGAUAUGGCUCUUCUUCUCAGCACAACUGCUUUGAGACUCAUCUGUGUUGCACUAUAUAACAGUGUUCUGUUUCUUUAUAUGAGCAACUCAUACCAAGUGGAUUAUACAGCUUGUUUAUUUAUUAGUUCUCAAAGAUUUUACU